CCUACGGGAGGCAGCAGUGAGGAAUAUUGGUCAAUGGGCGGAAGCCUGAACCAGCCAAGUCGCGUGAGGGAAUAAGGCCCUACGGGUCGUAAACCUCUUUUGCCGGGGAGCAAGUGCGGGUACGUGUCCCGUCCCGGAGAGUACCCGGAGACAAAGCAUCGGCUAACUCCGGGCCAGCAGCCGCGGUAAUACGGAGGAUGCGAGGGUUAUCCGGAUUUAUUGGGUUUAAAGGGUGCGUGGGAGGGCUUUUAAGUCAGCGGUAAAAAUUCGGGGCUCAACCCCGUCCGGCCGUUGAAACUGGGAGCCUUGAGUGGGGGAGAAGAAGGCGGAAUGCCUGGUGUAGCGGUGAAAUGCAUAGAGAUCACGCAGAACCCCGAUUGCGAAGGCAGCCUGCCGGAGCCCGACUGACGCUGAGGCACGAAAGUGCGGGGAUCGAACAGGAUUAGAUACCCGUGUAGUC
rnacentral:rRNA from 1 species